UAGGGAAUCUUCGGCAAUGGACGAAAGUCUGACCGAGCAACGCCGCGUGAGUGAAGAAGGUUUUCGGAUCGUAAAACUCUGUUGUUAGAGAAGAACAAGGACGUUAGUAACUGAACGUCCCCUGACGGUAUCUAACCAGAAAGCCACGGCUAACUACGUGCCAGCAGCCGCGGUAAUACGUAGGUGGCAAGCGUUGUCCGGAUUUAUUGGGCGUAAAUCGAGCGCAGGCGGUUUCUUAAGUCUGAUGUGAAAGCCCCCGGCUCAACCGGGGAGGGUCAUUGGAAACUGGGAGACUUGAGUUCAGAAGAGGAGAGUGGAAUUCCAUGUGUAGCGGUGAAAUGCGUAGAUAUAUGGAGGAACACCAGUGGCGAAGGCGGAUCUAUGGUCAGUAACUGACGCUGAGGCUCGAAGGCGUGGGGAGCAAACAGG
rnacentral:rRNA from 1 species